rnacentral:rRNA from 1 species
AGAGUUUGAUCCUGGCUCAGGAUGAACGCUAGCGGCAGGCUUAACACAUGCAAGUCGAGGGGCAGCAUGACACGGAGAUUCGUCGAAGUGUCGAUGGCGACCGGCGCAAGGGUGCGUAACGCGUGAGCAACUUGCCCGUUUCUGGGGAAUAACCGUUGGAAACGACGACUAAUACCCCAUGGCAUCAUGAUGAGGCAUCUCAUUAUGAUUAAAGAACUUCGGAAACGGAUAGGCUCGCGUGACAUUAGCUAGAUGGCGGGGUAACGGCCCACCAUGGCGACGAUGUCUAGGGGUUCUGAGAGGAAGGUCCCCCACACUGGAACUGAGACACGGUCCAGACUCCUACGGGAGGCAGCAGUGAGGAAUAUUGGUCAAUGGUCUGACGACUGAACCAGCCAUGCCGCGUGAAGGAGACGGCCCUAUGGGUCUUAAACUUCUUUUGUAAGGGAGCAAUAAGGUCUACGUGUAGAUCGAUGAGAGUACCUUACGAAUAAGCAUCGGCUAACUCCGUGCCAGCAGCCGCGGUAAUACGGGGGAUGCAAGCGUUAUCCGGAUUUAUUGGGUUUAAAGGGUGCGUAGGCGGUCAGGUAAGUCAGCGGUGAAAUUUAGGGGCUCAACCUCUACCGUGCCGUUGAUACUGUCUGACUGGAAUGCGGAUGCCGUGGGAGGAAUGUGUGGUGUAGCGGUGAAAUGCAUAGAUAUCACACAGAACACCGAUUGCGAAGGCAUCUCACGAAUCCGCGAUUGACGCUGAUGCACGAAAGCGUGGGGAUCAAACAGGAUUAGAUACCCUGGUAGUCCACGCUGUAAACGAUGAUGACUAACCGUCG